AGAGAUUCACUUGCCUCUACCUCCGGAGUUCUGGGAUUAAAGUGGGUCUCUGAGCACAGCCCUGCCUAUCCCGGAAGUCACUCACUGUGGAGAUCAGACUGACCUUGAAUUCACUGGACCUGCCUACCUUUGUGUACACCUCCGGCCCAGCUCUUUGUCCCGUUUUGAAUAACAGAAGGGAGCCGGUUUCCUGUUUAAGCUGGUAGGCUUGGCCUCUAGACUCCAAGUGUAUUUGGAGGCGCUCUGUUGCUCAUCGACAUUCCGGGUUUUCCAUGGUAAGACCGACCCUGCCAUCCUAACAGGUGCCAGCCUGGUAAAGUACGUGCAGGUGCGUGGGAAGGAUUGCAGCAAAAUUAACUUCCUCUUCCGCUUUGAUGUGGUGCUGUGAUUUGAACCCAGGGCCUUGUGCAUUCUAGACAAGCCCUCCACCACUGACCUAGAUUCUCAGUCAAGAGGUGGCAAUGGACCAACCCAUCUGUCACAACCAGGCCCCUCCUGCAUUCAGACAACACGGAGGCUUGCUUGCCAGGUGGCAGGUGGCAUUGUAUGAAUCCUCUUAACUGCCUCAGGUGACGGAGCCUUUUUUGGAAUCUUUGUGACUUACCAAGAAAAUACCUCCUAUUUAGAGAUGAACUCUCUGGGUUCAGAGACGGGUGUUCCCUCGUUCACCUCUCAGUACGCAGUUGAGCCACUUACCUAUCUUGUGCUGUAUCGGCAAUCGCAAAGGAUUAUUUUAGUUUUAAUCUGGGCUGCUUGGAUUUAGAAUGGCUGCUACCUGUCCGUAGGAGCGAGGAGCUCGAUGGUGUCAUAUGCCAAACCCGAGCUAGGAGACACAGAGUUCUCCCAGACAAUUACGGGACCACGCUGGAAGACUCUCGUGGAAGACUCUUUGUGAGAUAUCUAACCUUCACUGUCAACUUGACUGGAUUUUAAGUUACCAAGAUCGGGGAGACCCCUCUGGUUGUGUCUCUGGGGGCAGGCAUUCCCAGACGUGUGGUUACCUUCCGUGUGGUAUCGCUAUCCGUGGGCUUGGGAGAGGUAACAGAGAGAGAAGGAAAACCAGUCUAGAGCUGGCAUCAUGGCAACCCAACACCUACCCCAUUCCGGGCUGGCCGUAAAGUGAGCCGGUCUCCACCAUUUGACUUCUGCUGGACAGCUUGGACAGCUUCCUGCUUCCUCAAGCUGAGUUGCACCUGGCACCUGGCAACCACGCCUCCCUUUUGUCUGAAUGCAGGAAUAGCUCGUAGUCCCAGUAGUCCCAUCGCCACCUCUUGAUUGCAGCUGUUCCCUGAGUGAUCCAUCUUCCCCUUCACACCUCAGGCCUUAUCUUUACUCAGUCAGCCUUGCUGUUUCUGCUGCCCGCCUUGAGGCUUCUGAUACCGUCUCCAUUGAGAUUUGAUGUGCUCAGUGGCAUGAGCCCCAGGUAGCAUGUCCUGUCUGAUCCCUGUAGCUCCUAGGAGUGGCUGUGAGGUUUCCCAGUCACUCCCAACCUUUGCUGACCAUUCCUUCAGUGCACAGGCUCUGUGUCCAGGGCAUGCGGCUGAAGAUGCCCACGCCCUGUCUUACUCAGUCUUGUGGACCCGCUGAGUCGGGGGCUGCGUUUGGGGAAGCUGCUGUCUGUUUCCUUUUCCUUGCGUAGAGCUCGCUAUUGGUAGGAGCUGUUUAACUAACCCUUUUCUUUCAGUCCCUUCUCCCCCUCCUUUAGCUAUUUAUUUGUUGAGUUUCUACUUCUAUUUUUUAAAUCAACAUAGACAAUAAGUGUCAUUAGUCAUAUUCACCCAUCCAUACCUCUCUCUGUGCCUCCUUGUCCCCGCCUUGUCUCUGUUCCUUGCUGUCCCAUUUCCUCGUUACCCUCCCCAGACCUUUCCCUCCAUCUCAUAGUCCUCUUUCUGGGUUUGGGCCUCUGCUCACGCUCUAUCCUACACGUGCACAUAUAGAAACAUGUAAAGCUGGGAUCUGCAUUCAUGUGUGCGUUACAGUUGGCAUCACAUGUCAACCUGACUCACCUGGAAGGAGGGACUCUCAAGUGAGGAAUUGCUCUCAUCUGGUUGGCCAGGAGGCAUGCCUGUGGGACAUUUCCUUUACAGUAGUUGAGGGCAUGGGGGCCCAGCCCACUGUGGGUGGUACAGUCCCUAGGCAGUU